UUCCAUUAUCCCAGGUAGCUCCAAACUGGCCUGGAAAAUUUAGGAAUUUCCCAGGAAAGGGAAUUUUAGAUUGGCACUUGAGAAAAUGCACCGGGAGCAGGGACUGGUUCCAAAAUAAAGGAGAACAUUCCCAACCAUGCAGCAGCUCCGGAGAGUUUUCCAGUGGGAAAUGCAGGAAAAUCAUCCCUGUGAUCCACUUUGGAGCAGCCUGGCAUAGUGAAAGUGCCCAUGGCAGAGGGUGGAAAAUGAUGAUUUUUAAAUCCUUUCCAUCCCAAACCAUUCCAGAAUUCAUUUUAGGAUUCCAGAACCUUUCUCCCAGUUUCACUCCGAUUCUGAAGAAUUCCCAGUGAUUGCUUUUCCAGCCAAACCCUAACAAUGAGAUUCUUUCAAGGUUAGCAGCACAAUUUGGGCAAAAAAGGAAAUUAUCAGGGAGGUUUAAUUAAGGAGGAAUAUCAGCAGGUCACAUCUUGUUUCUGGUGGAGUUUGGAGGAAGCAGGAUUAAUAUUUAAAUCAAACAAACCUAUCUGUUAAACGAGACCGUUAAAUUACAGAUAACGGGGGAAGAGUCCAAAUUUUCCCAAAUGUUUUCAGUUUUUUUUCCUAACGACCGUCGUUAUAUUUUGAUGCGGUUAAUAAUACAGCAGAGGUUAAAUGAAACAUGAAAAAGGGCCGUGCAUUAAAAUUGAGAUAACUCUUCCUCCAGUGAAGUGGAACCCAGCAGAUGUAGCUGCACACUGUAAUUGCUGCCUGUUUCCUGUCACUCUGAUUAAGUUGCAUUGUCCCUGCUCCAAGUGUAGGAAUCAGUGGCUUCCCAUAGGGCACAGCAUGGGACAGCUGGAUCCAGCAGGAAAAUCACUCCGUGCUUGUCCUGGUGAUGGUAUUGACACACAAUACCUAUUGAUUACUCCUAAAAUCAAUAGGCUGGGAGUGGGAGAGGCACUCCACUCAAGGGCUGGGAUUUUGGGAACGCUUCCAUUCCCCAUUAUUCGCCAAAUAAACCCAAGGCCUGGCUGCUGUGUUAGUUCUGCUUCUCAGGACUUCCAGCAUUGCUGUUUUCCUCAUUCCAAACCCUGAAAUCCCAAAAUUAUGGGAUGGGGAAGAAUUCCAAGCCACUUCCAUAGAGCAGGAUGCUCACAGCCCUUUCCUUUUGCAGGUCUGAAUCGUGGUGUGGAGGAGUGCUCAGAGCUUCAGGGCAGCGUGGGCUGAUGCCAGAAGGAUCUGGAGAAAUUCCAAACUCAGGGAUACUUCCCUUGCUGACAGAGGAAUUGGAAUAUUUUGCAUCCUGAGUCAUCCAAGGAGCAUCAGUUUGGCAGCUCGACACAAAAACAGCCAAAUCCUCGGGGGAAACGUGCAGCGUGCACCUGAAGCCAAAAGCUCCAUGAAAUAUCAAAAAAUAUCCUGGAAUUGUGCUGGAAACGCUCUCCAAAAUUGGGGCAGGAGCGAGGGAGGAGGCUCCAACAGAGGAAGGAAACAGCUGGAGAUGACACAAACACGUCGAUAUUCCAGAUUUAGCUGGUUUGUCUGGAAAACACGUGUUGGAUUUCAAGGCUGUGUGUGUCCAAGGGGCCAGGAAGAGCAGGAGUGAUCCAUGCACUCAAAGGCAGGGAAAUCUUGCGCCGAACGCAAACGAGACUCGGAGAUUUAACGAGUUUCCUGUGGGGGAAAAUCCGGAGACACCAAUGGAACAAUGGAUGUACAUUUCUCCUCCCAGUGGAAAUUCGAAUUGCUGAGCUGCUGCCAGCUUUGAGAAGAUUGGAGCUCCAGGGUCUCCUUCUGGGACACAGCCAAGUGUCUGUGGGAUUUUGAGGUUGUAAAAGUCUCUGUGUGUCAGCCCUGUUGUCAAAGAAGAAAUCAUAAUUAAUCUGUGCUGGUUCAAGGAGCUCAACUUCUAAACUCCACGGCCUGGGAGGAAAUUCCUUUUUCAGCCUCAUUUUUUGGAUUAUUUAACUCAUAAAAACUCCAUCUAAACUCGAUUUUGGAAGAAUAAAAUCCCCCUGGAAUAUUAAUUAAUUGAUUAAUUAAAGAGCCAUUGUGAACUGGAGUUUGCAGAACAGCCCAAACUCACAACAAGAGGAAUAUUUGGAAUAUUUCCCUGGAUUUGCCACAGGUCUGCGCUUCCCCACCCGAGGAAAUCCCUCAGUGGGUUUCACAUUUCGGCACCUGCUGGAAAAAAAGAAAAAAAGGAAAAAAAAUACUCCAAAAAAGAAGAAAACACAACUUGGAUUUAUUUUCAUGCAGCUGAAUGGAAGGAGAAAUUUUGGGAAUACGACAGCUUCAGGAAUCAAAAGUGUCCUCGUGCCUCGUGUCCUGUCCUCAGCGUGGCAAAAAAUUCCUCAUCUGGGAGCAUUUAUGGACCAGUCCUUAAAAUGACACAGGUUGGCACAAAAUUGGCAUCUGGAAUUAAUUGGCUGUUUGCCCACGGUGUGGAGCUCAGCAGGAGCUGAAGGUGGAAGAUGUGGUGCUGCAGGGGCGUCUUCACUCCAGAAAUCCACACCAGGAUGGAGAAUUCCUCCCUAAAAUGGACAAUUCCACCCUAAAAUGGACAAUUCCACCCUAAAAUGGACAAUUCCUCCCUA